AGGGGAUGGGAGGCGAAAGGGGUAGGAGGAGGAGGAUGGGAGGCGAAGGGGUAGGAGGAAGAGGAUGGGAGGUGAAGGGGUAGGAGGAAGAGGAUGGGAGGUGAAGGGGUAGGAGGAGGAAGAGGAUGGGAGGUGAAGGGGUAGGAGGAGGAGGAUGGGAGGUGAAGGGGUAGGAGGAGGAGGAUGGGAGGCGAAGGGGUAGGAGGAGGAGGAUGGGAGGUGAAGGGGUAGGAGGAGGAGGAUGGGAGGUGAAGGGGUAGGAGGAAGAGGAUGGGAGGUGAAGGGGUAGGAGGAAGAGGAUGGGAGGCGAAGGGGUAGGAGGAGGAAGAUGGGAGGCGAAGGGGUAGGAGGAGGAAGAGGAUGGGAGGCGAGGAGGAUGGGAGGCGAAUGGGUAGGAGGAGGAGGAUGGGAGGCGAAGGGGUAGGAGGAGGAAGAGGAUGGGAGGCGAAGGGGUAGGAGGAGGAAGAGGAUGGGAGGCGAAGGGGUAGGAGGAGGAAGAGGAUGGGAGGUGAAGGGGUAGGAGGAGGAAGAGGAUGGGAGGAGAAGGGGUAGGAGGAGGAAGAGGAUGGGAGGUGAAGGGGUAGGAGGAGGAAGAGGAUGGGAGGCGAAGGGGUAGGAGGAGGAGGAGGAUGGGAGGUGAAGGGGUAGGAGGAGGAAGAGGAUGGGAGGCGAAGGGGUAGGAGGAGGAAGAGGAUGGGAGGUGAAGGGGUAGGAGGAGGAAGAGGAUGGGAGGCGAAGGGGUAGGAGGAGGAAGAGGAUGGGAGGUGAAGGGGUAGGAGGAGGAAGAGGAUGGGAGGCGAAGGGGUAGGAGGAGGAAGAGGAUGGGAGGCGAAGGGGUAGGAGGAGGAAGAGGAUGGGAGGCGAAGGGGUAGGAGGAGGAAGAGGAUGGGAGGCGAAGGGGUGGAGGAUCAAAUAUUUUUUUAUAUCAACAGUUGUCACAUAGUGCUUUACAGACAGACAGCCUCACACUCCAAACAGCAACCAAUGCAGAUGAGGAAGCACAGUGUCUAGGAAAAACUCCCUAGAAGGCAGGAACCUAGGAAGAAACCUAGAGGGGAACCCGGC